AACUUCCAAUGCACGAAAGUGUGAUGAGGUCAUCCCGAGUCCUAUGCUUACGUCUAGGUUUUCUGGAGUGNGAAUAGCUUCAGGAAUAAAGNGGGGGCAAGAACGGNG
rnacentral:rRNA from 1 species